AAGUGUUUUUUGCUCGCAUAGUAGAAUUUGGUUCAUAUUACAAAUAUAUGGAUCGAAAGAUUUACAUUUGAAUAAUUCACAAUCAAAGUGUUGAUUAUACAUGCAUACAGCUAGGAAAAGUUUAAAAAUAAUUAAGAAAGUCUAUAAUUACCAGUGAAAUUAAGCAUGCCAGAGUAAAGUCUUGUCUUUUCUGGAGAUUCGAGCACAACGAAACGAUCAUCAAGUGACCCUUGAGCAGGUUGGGGAACAGCUGGAGUAACCCCAGAAGAAUUAUUUCUUUAUUUUUGCUUCAUAAAUUGAAUUCAUGAAUCAUUCCCAAAUAUAUUGGAAAUGUUCUCCUCAACGUCAUGACUUCUUUGGUGGAAACCCUAACAACGUUUAUCUCUUUGUGCAUGUCCACGUCCAAUGAUAUCCUUUUUUACGUGAGAGGGGGAAGGAUUCACAGGACCUCUGCCAUGUCCUCCAGCAUGUCCUGCAAAGACAUCUGGAGGAGGGGGAGGAUUCACAGGAUCUCUAGCCUGCCUUUCCCUGACAUCUGGAUUCACAGGACCUCCAGCAUGUCCUCCAAAGACAUGCUGGGGAGGGCGAGGAUUCACAGGACGUCUAACAUGUCUUUCCAUGUCAACGUGAGGGUGGGGAGGAUUUACAUGACCUCUGCCAUGUCCUCCAGCAUGUCCUUCAAAGACAUCCGGAGGAGGGGGAGGAUUCACAGGACCUCCAACAUGUCUUGCAUUGCCACCUGCCGAUGAUGAUACGCCGGAGUCGCCGGACGCAGCUGUUUGUGAUGGAUUUCUCAUUCUUUCUUCUUUACCUAGAGGAUUGAUUCAGAAAUGUUUAUUUUAUAGUAAGAAAUUGUUUGUUUAUCAUUAUUACAUUAGUAUUAGUAUUUUUAUUAUUAUUAAUCCCGUUC
rnacentral:lncRNA from 1 species